UGCCGGGAACUCAAAGGAGACUGCCAGUGAUAAACUGGAGGAAGGUGGGGAUGACGUCAAGUCAUCAUGGCCCUUACGACCAGGGCUACACACGUGCUACAAUGGCAUAUACAAAGAGAAGCGACCUCGCGAGAGCAAGCGGACCUCAUAAAGUAUGUCGUAGUCCGGAUUGGAGUCUGCAACUCGACUCCAUGAAGUCGGAAUCGCUAGUAAUCGUAGAUCAGAAUGCUACGGUGAAUACGUUCCCGGGCCUUGUACACACCGCCCGUCACACCAUGGGAGUGGGUUGCAAAAGAAGUAGGUAGCUUAACCUUCGGGAGGGCGCUUACCACUUUGUGAUUCAUGACUGGGGUGAAGUCGUAACAAGGUAACCGUAGGGGAACCUGCGGUUGGAUCACCUCCUUACCUUAAAGAA
rnacentral:rRNA from 1 species